UACGUAGGGUGCGAGCGUUAAUCGGAAUUACUGGGCGUAAAGCGUGCGCAGGCGGCGCCGCAAGUCAGGCGUGAAAUCCCCGAGCUUAACUUGGGAAUGGCGCUUGAAACUACGGUGCUGGAGUGUGGCAGAGGGAGGUGGAAUUCCACGUGUAGCGGUGAAAUGCGUAGAGAUGUGGAGGAACACCGAUGGCGAAGGCAGCCUCCGUGGGCCAACACUGACGCUCAUGCACGAAAGCGUGGGGAGCAAACAGG
rnacentral:rRNA from 1 species